UACGGGGGGGGUAAGCGUUGUUCGGAAUUACUGGGCGUAAAGGGCUCGUAGGCGGCCAACUAAGUCAGACGUGAAAUCCCUCAGCUUAACUGGGGAACUGCGUCUGAUACUGGAUGGCUUGAAUUCGGGAGAGGGAUGCAGAAUUCCAGGUGUAGCGGUGAAAUGCGUAGAUAUCUGGAGGAAUACCGGUGGCGAAGGCGGCAUCCUGGACCGACAUUGACGCUGAAAGCCGAAAGCUAGGGGAGCAAACGGG
rnacentral:rRNA from 1 species